AAUGAACGCUGGCGGCAUGCCUAACACAUGCAAGUCGAACGAGACCUUCGGGUCUAGUGGCGCACGGGUGCGUAACGCGUGGGAAUCUGCCCUUGGGUUCGGAAUAACAGUUAGAAAUGACUGCUAAUACCGAAUGAUGUCGUAAGACCAAAGAUUUAUCGCCCAGGGAUGAGCCCGCGUAAGAUUAGGUAGUUGGUGUGGUAAAGGCGCACCAAGCCGACGAUCUUUAGCUGGUCUGAGAGGAUGAUCAGCCACACUGGGACUGAGACACGGCCCAGACUCCUACGGGAGGCAGCAGUGGGGAAGUAUUGGACAAUGGGCGAAAGCCUGAUCCAGCAAUGCCGCGUGAGUGAUGAAGGCCUUAGGGUUGUAAAGCUCUUUUACCCGGGAUGAUAAUGACAGUACCGGGAGAAUAAGCUCCGGCUAACUCCGUGCCAG
rnacentral:rRNA from 1 species